CUCAGACAUUGUUUUUGUUUUGUUUUGUUUUGUUUUUUGAGUUCACCAUCAUAGCAGGGGAUUGCUAGCAACAGUUAGGACCUGGAGGGGAGACCAGAAGAAGAGGCCGCUGGGCACGGGUGAAAGCAGUUCAGAAGACUUGGGGGAGAGGAAGACACCCAGGACCUCGUCAGCCUCCUGCCUCCCCCUUUUUUUGGGCGGCUUCUUUUGGAGGAGAGUAGCGAGUGUUCUCCUCAGAAUGAUCUGCCCGGGCAUCAGCCUGCCGUUCCUAAUGGAAACAGAAACGUUAACUCUUACUCUAGUGGUGGAGCCCCUUGGACUCCAUCUGCAGUUCUCUCGAGGCCAGGAUUCUGAAUGAGCGAGAUGAACUUUAAUCUUCACUUCUUGUACUUUGGUUCUUAUUUUCUGCCUCAGUGUCUUCUUCUCUUUGUUCAUGGAGUCCCAGUACUCUCAUGUCUGGAAACCUAUCACCCUGAUUACAUAGAGAUGAGAUGAUGAAAUUGUCAGCAACUUGCUGAAAGUCACAUGCCUGUGUCCUCAGAACAGGCACUGAGCUGUGGGUUCUCUGGAUGACAGAAUAGUCUUUUCCACAUUAACUUAACCGGUGAGGACCCACUGGCUGGAAAACGUUAAGUUUGGAAACAGGCAAAGUGAGAUUGUGCGUGUGUGUGUGUGCACGUGCGAGCAUGUGUGUGUUUGCAAGUGUGUGUAAUUGUGUGUGCGUGUAAGUGUGUGCAAGCAAGUGUGCAUGUGAGUGUGUGAGUGUAUGCGUGAGCGUGUGUGGGUGUGUGUGUGUGGAGUGUGUGAGAGUGUGAGUGUGUGAGUCUGUGGGAGUGUGUGAGUGCGUGUGAGUGUGUGAGUGUGUGUGAGUGUGUGAGUGUGGGAGUGUGUGAGUGUGUGUGUGUUGGGGAUCGGUGGUGAGCAAGUGUCUUUUGUUGUCCAUUCCUUUCUCACUGCCUCCUGCCUUACUCUCCUUACUCUCCUUACACAUCCUUACUCUCUGCUUCCAUUCCCUCUUCUCACUAUUCAAGUUCUUCCGUUCUCUCCCUGUAUUAUGUUCUCCCCAUAAUUGCCGUCUUCACUCUUCCCCAAAUCUCUAUCCCCUUAAUUUGUCCUUUCUUAGUUCUCCCUCCCCAGAUUUAUUCUGAAGGUUCAAUGGACCCCUAAAAAAUAUGAAAUACUGCAUUUUAAGGGACAUUAAAGGGUGUCAAUGUGCUGAUAUUCCAAUCUUGCAGAAAUCGACUGGAUUUAGUGGAAUUAAAGUCAACUGGAAGACGAUCUGUGGGGAUAAUUCCAUGAUUCAAAGCCUUCAGGGAAAACGUGUUUGCUCAGCUGCAGUGAUUGAAAAAUUGAAGGCAAUGAGAGUCAUAUGUUAUGCUUGGUUAUGUCCUGCUCUGAUGCCAGUUUGGAGUAAAGGCUGAACUUUGCUGUUGAAAGCCACUGUGGAAAGUGGAAACAUUGACUGUGCGUUGCUGAGGGGAGGAAUGUAUUUACUUACCCAGAAAUAGACGCAUCCUUGUCUCAGUGGGCUGGGAGAUAGUAUCAAUCCUUUCUGUUGCAACAGAUCCCACUGCCUUCUUUUUUCAAAAGAGUAAAUAUUUAAAUAGGUAAUACAGAAAAGUUAUUGCCAUUUUUCCUUCAUCAGCCAUGGCUGGGAGUCAAAAGAGAGAGUGAGGCAGAACUCACACAUGGGGAAAUAAUAUUGUGGACGUUAUAUAUAAUCCUUUUAAAGUAACGGCAUUAGACUUCGUGAUUUGCAAUUGGCCAAAUUGAGAAAACUUUUCUCAAAAAGCCAUUUUAAGAUAAAAAAUUAUGAAUUUUCUUAAGCCCUGUGAUUAGAGUGUAACACGUAUUUAUGGUCCCCCCAGGCACCACCCAAUAAAAAUGGUUAAAACCUUUAGUACUUUUAGUAGUUCACAGUUUUAUGGCCAAAGUUAUUUUGUAGAUUUUAUGCUUAAAGCAAGGUCAAUGUAUUGCACUGUAUAAAUUAUUCUAAGUAAUUGCUCAGUUAUUUUAUAGCUUAGUCACAGGAUUUUUUCAUUAUUAAACGUAGCCUUUUCUUUAAAGUUAGGAUGAGAAGGGCACGAUAAAUCACAGAGCAGCUUGCCAUUGGGGUUUCAGCUUUACCUGUGAUAAGGGUUUAAUAACAAUCUGGCCCAGACACCAGCUCCCUCUCAAUUACCUUUCCACAUGGGCAUUAGUUCACACUGUUUAUUAAAAACUCCCCUUGUAGUUCUUAAAUGGAGUGUUUCAGAUUAAUGGCCCCCACGGAGUUUAACUUCAUUGCACUUCAUUAAAGCUAGAUUGUACAAAAGGUUACUUCAAUUAAAUCCAGAAUGCGACCUUAAAUCUGUAUAGAUUUUUUUCAGAAAAUGUGAUAAAAUUGCUCUGCCAAUCCUUCAAGAUUAACAAGACAAAAUCCCUUUCAGUAACCAAAGUACAAAAAUUUGUGUGCCUGUUCUGAGUUUUCCUCUGGCUGUACAACUGGAUUUUAUAGAAUUAGAGGACAACUCGUGGAAAGAGCCUGGAGUUACAAAUGGAUCAAGUUACCGGAGAGCUGAGCCCCAGUGUGAGGCUGGAGAGUUUGGGAGACCUUUUGUUCCCCUUGAGUGGAUGCUGUACAUUUGGUGCUUUAGAAAAAAAAAUAUUUUGCUUCCCAUAUAAUAAAAAUAUUUUUCUAAAUAGAUUGGUCUGUGUCUUUUCAAAAAAAAAAAGUGACGUAAAAUCUUCUGAGGUUUUCUUCCUUAGCUACUCCAAUCUGUGAGGCGCAGUUUGUGGCAGU
rnacentral:lncRNA from 1 species